UUAUGUAGCCUUUUCAAGAGUCGUCUGGCGCGAAAAGGACGAUAACUCAAUUUUAGAAUUUAAUAUUUUUGGAGACGGUCAAUUUCCGGAAUUCCAUGCUUGAUCAUCCCGAUUUUUUCUUUGGCCGUUGACAACAGAAUUAUUGCUGCAUUCUUUGACAAUAAGGUAUAUUUAACAAGGCAGUAUUAUCAAUGUAUUAUCGUGGUAUCAAUAUAUGUUAGAAAUGUUAGAUACCUGAAUUAUUUGUAAUUUUGGCAAGGACAAUUCAUCACGUCCCCUGAAAACAUGAUUUUGUAAAAUAUCACUUAUCGGCAUCUCCGGGCGGCAAGCCAGAUUAAUUUCCUGAUAAUCUUUACUACAGCAUUCUGAUUGUUAUUAAUUGCUACAUAUUACCGCUUUUUUGUAAAUCGAUGUUUGUUUACAUUAUCAACAAAUGUGAGUAACAUUCUAGGUCGAGUUGUCGUUCGUGGUGUAUAGUUUGUUCCAAACCAUUGUUUGUUUCUGGUACAGGUUGGCAGUUGUUUAUCAACAAUAAAGUUGUUGCAACAUAAACACAUGUUAUUUUCAGUGUGUAUGUGUGUUUUUCUUUCUUUCUAAUUAGUUAUGAUUGUUUAUAAAAACAAAAUGUUUUUAAAUUCAUUUGGAAGACAGGAUUGUCAUGUAAUUGUUAUUUCCCUUGUUUAAAAAUAGAAAUUGCGUGUUUCUAUAUUUAACGAUUUGCAUGACACUAUUUAGUACAUAUUUGUUAAAUAAUAUAGAUAUUGCUGUUUUGAAUUCAUUGUUAAAGAGAAUUAUAUAUGUUCUAAAAUUCAAUAUUUGCAUCGUUGCUUAUCAUUUAUAACCUUUGUUGAAAGACUUAAUCAUUUUAGAUAAGUUGUUUGAAAAUAUUGUUGGUUACAAACUUCCUUCUGUUGUUUGAUUGAAAGCAGUCAAUGGCGCUUUUCAAGGACUGCCAACGCUAAUACUGUAUAUGGUUGGUAACAACAUUGAAUGAUUGAGAUGUUUAUGAACUGACAUUCAGUCCGACCAUGGGAAGCUGUGCUCUGCCGGAUGCGUGCUCAAUUAUUGGAGUCAUUCAAUGCUACAUUUCUCUACUUUAGGUCUACAUAAUAAAAAUUGUACUUAUUGAAAAAAAAUAUAUAUUGUUUUCAUUUAUUUUAUUUAGAUAGCGCUAUCACAUUCGGCAUCCAUCGUAUUUUUAUUUAUCAGUUGUCAAAUUAGACCAAUAUGUGGUCUGCAUCCCCUGCAUAAUUGAUCCUUUUACAUACAUGUCAGACCCCACUCCUUUAUUUCUUUAAUGGCUUUCAGUUAUUUGGUGGACACAGGGAAUUGAUUCCCAGUUCCCUCCCCAAACUCCUACUUCACUCCAUAUUCUGUUCCUCUGCACUCUUAUUUUUUCAUCAACAAGAAUUAUCCCUGUUUUAUCAAACUUUUCUCACGAUUAAGACCACCCUGCCUCAAGCUUUCAUCCAUCAAAUUCUCAUUUCUAGUCCUCUUAUUCCACAGUUCCCAUAAUUCUGUCCAACCCCUUUAAAGUGUCCCAAUGACUCGCACCCAUUAACAACCCAUCAUUCGACAAAUUAUAUUAAACAACCUGAUUUGUCUCCUAUAUGCAAAAAUUACGAGUCAGGUUUUUUUGCUUUAAUAUAAAUGGCAAUUUUUUUUCACACAUCUCGUUUUUGAACUCCCAUGCGUAUUUGUUACUAUCAACUAUAUGGCAUCAAUGCACACAAUUCAAACGAUCUUUUCACAAAACCACAAAAAUUGCAUAGCAAAUACAUUCUCAGGAUUUUUAAUAAAGUUUACUUUGCGAGCACAAAGUGAGGAAUUAAUUAUAAAACAAUUUGGUAAAGCAAAAUAAAUAUCUAAAAGAUGUUUUAAAAAUAGACUAUAGUGGAUGAGCUACCCCUUCGUGUAACAAGAUUUAUCUCUCCUGGGAUUUAAACACAUUGAGAUUGAGAUUGAAUUGUUUCCCUUUGAUAACAACCAGUUCCAAAGCAAGAUUAUUUGUUUGAUGAUUUUUAAUUGAUUAACAAUAUUUUGAUAAAGGAAAAGGAUAAUACUUUCAAUUUCGAGGUCUCACAAAGGCUUUUUCACCUUCUAUUCUAAUUUUACAUUAAAAACCCAAAUUUA
rnacentral:lncRNA from 1 species